rnacentral:rRNA from 1 species
CGGACGGGUGAGUAAUGUCUGGGAAACUGCCUGAUGGAGGGGGAUAACUACUGGAAACGGUAGCUAAUACCGCAUAACGUCGCAAGACCAAAGAGGGGACCUUACGGGCCUCUUGCCAUCGGAUGUGCCCAGAUGGGAUUAGCUAGUAGGUGGGGUAACGGCUCACCUAGGCGACGAUCCCUAGCUGGUCUGAGAGGAUGACCAGCCACACUGGAACUGAGACACGGUCCAG